UCAUUAAAUCAGUUACGGUUUGUUAGACUUUGUUAUCUACUCGGAUAACUGUGGUAAUUCUAGAGCUAAUACGUGCAGCAAGCCUCAACCUCACGGAAGAGGCGCACAUAUUACACCAAGACCAAUGGGACUUCGGUUCCUUGUGACAGGUGAUUCUAGAUAUUUCCGCAAAUCGAAUGGCCUUGCGCCGUCGAUAAGUCUUUCAAGUUUCUGCCUUAUCAACUGUCGAUGGUAGGUUAUAUGCCUACCAUGGUUGUAACGGGUAACGGGGAAUCAGGGUUCGAUUCCGGAGAGGGAGCCUGAGAAACGGCUACCACAUCCAAGGAAGGCAGCAGGCACGCAAAUUACCCACUCUCGGCACGAGGAGGUAGUGACCAAAAAUAACAAUACGGGACUCUUUUGAGGCCCCGUAAUUGGAAUGAGUACGAUCUAAAUCCUCUAACGAGGAUCUAUUGGAGGGCAAGUCUGGUGCCAGCAGCCGCGGUAAUUCCAGCUCCAAUAGCGUAUAUUAAAGUUGCUGCGGUUAAAAAGCUCGUAGUUGGAUCUCAGCUCAUGUCAAAUGGACUCCGAAAGGCAGUUACCAUCUGGCUGAGUGGUUCACGGAGUUUCUUGUGAUACUCUUAACCGGGUGUCACUUGAAUUCCGUGGUGUUACCUUGAAAAAAUUAGAGUGCUCAAGGCAGGCUACUCGCCCGAAUAAUCUUGCAUGGAAUAACGGAAUAGGACUUCGGUUCUAUUUUGUUGGUCUUCGGAUCCGAGGUAAUGAUUAAGAGGGACUGACGGGGGCAUUAGUAUUGCGGCGCUAGAGGUGAAAUUCUUGGACCGUCGCAAGACUAACAACAGCGAAAGCAUUUGCCAAGAAUGUUUUCAUUAAUCAAGAACGAAAGUUAGAGGUUCGAAGGCGAUCAGAUACCGCCCUAGUUCUAACCAUAAACGAUGUCAACCAGCAAUCAGCUAGAGUCAUAUCUGACUCGGCUGGCAGCUUCCGGGAAACCAAAGUCUUUGGGUUCCGGGGGAAGUAUGGUUGCAAAGCUGAAACUUAAAGGAAUUGACGGAAGGGCACCACCAGGAGUGGAGCCUGCGGCUUAAUUUGACUCAACACGGGAAAACUCACCCGGCCCGGACACUGAAAGGAUUGACAGAUUGAGAGCUCUUUCUUGAUUCAGUGGGUGGUGGUGCAUGGCCGUUCUUAGUUGGUGGACUGAUUUGUCUGGUUAAUUCCGAUAACGAACGAGACUCUAGCCUAAUAAAUAGAACCUCAGCUCUUCGGCGCUGGGGGGACUUCUUAUAGGGACUAGUGGCGAUCAGCCACACGAGACAGAGCAAUAACAGGUCUGUGAUGCCCUCAGAUGUCCGGGGCCGCACGCGCGCUACAAUGAAGUAAUAAACAGGUUUAAUCUACCCUCGCUGCGAAGUGUGGGUAACCCUGUGAAACUGCUUCAUGAUGGGGAUUGGGCUUUGUAACUAUUGCCCAUGAACGAGGAAUUCCCAGUAAGCGCGAGUCAUUAGCUCGUGUUGAUUACGUCCCUGCCCUUUGUACACACCGCCCGUCGCUACUACCGAUUGAAUGAUUUAGUGAGGUCUUCGGAUCAGCUAGUGAAGCAACUCUCGGGUCGCUGAGCCAAGCUGAGAAGAUGACCAAACUUGAUCAUUU
rnacentral:rRNA from 1 species